AUAAUAAUUUUAUUCAAUACAAUUCAAAAAUCGAAAUAAUUAAAAAAUAAUGAAAUCGAUAACGCCAAGACGUGUCGUAAAUAUGUGCCGUGUUUUCUUAAAUUAUUAAGAAAUAUCACUUGGAAAAUUAAAAAAAUAACCUCUACACUGUACCAAUAAGAUCCAAAAUGUCACAAAGAAAAUGAUGUCUUGUUCGAUUCGAGCAAGAUUUUUGAUAGAAAGUUUGUUCAACGACAGGAAAUAAUGAAUAGUAUACCUCAUAGUGAAAUUAAUACAUGACUCGAUACGCUCAGAAUCUAAAAUAGUAACAAAGGUUC